GAAUUAGCGGGGUCCUCUUUGCUGGUCCUCGACAUGUGAUAAGAUGUUUCCAUGUCUUGGUUUCUGGCUCUGUUGCUUUUGGGACCCGCUUCUAACCGUCUCAACGAGACAAUGUUUGACGCGCGUUCCCUUCUCGGGAGACCCUCUCGACCUCACGAACCCUUGACCUCAAAUCGGGUGAGACUACCCGCUGAACUUAA
rnacentral:misc_RNA from 1 species